GGGUGAGUAACACGUGGAUAACCUACCUAUAAGACUGGGAUAACUUCGGGAAACCGGAGCUAAUACCGGAUAAUAUAUUGAACCGCAUGGUUCAAUAGUGAAAGACGGUUUUGCUGUCACUUAUAGAUGGAUCCGCGCCGCAUUAGCUAGUUGGUAAGGUAACGGCUUACCAAGGCAACGAUGCGUAGCCGACCUGAGAGGGUGAUCGGCCACACUGGAACUGAGACACGGUCUAG
rnacentral:rRNA from 1 species